CCGGAGUAGACCAGAAAUUCAUUUUCUUGGAUACCUGAACAAGCAUGCCAACUUUGGUUAUUCAUCUUCACUUUCACUUUCCUUUCAUCGGAAAACCAUUCACCCCAUUUCUUCUGUCCCUGCUCUGUCAGAGGAAAAAGAUGACAAGUUUUAUGGGAUGCAAAUGCAAGUACUUGUGGAUAUAUUCCAUCCUUUUCUGUCCUCCAAAGAGUGAGGAAGAAAAGGAAGA